rnacentral:rRNA from 1 species
UACAGAGGGGGCAAGCGUUGUUCGGAAUUACUGGGCGUAAAGGGCGCGUAGGCGGCCUGCUAAGUCGAACGUGAAAUCCCCGGGCUCAACCCGGGAACUGCGUCCGAUACUGGCAGGCUUGAAUUCGGGAGAGGGAUGCGGAAUUCCAGGUGUAGCGGUGAAAUGCGUAGAUAUCUGGAGGAACACCGGUGGCGAAGGCGGCAUCCUGGACCGAAAUUGACGCUGAGGCGCGAAAGCCAGGGGAGCGAACGGG